GACAGAGGUGCCGAGCGUUAGGCGGAAUCACUGGGCUUAAAGCGUGUGUAGGCGGACUUCUAAGUACCUUGUGAAAUCCCACGGCUCAACCGUGGAACUGCUUGGUAUACUGGUCGUCUUGAGCCAUCUAGGGGCUGUCGGAACAAAUGGUGGAGCGGUGAAAUGCGUAGAUAUCAUUUGGAACGCCAAUGGUGAAAACAGCUUGCUGGGGGUUUGCUGACGCUGAGACACGAAAGCCAGGGGAGCAAACGGG
rnacentral:rRNA from 1 species